GGCCCCUUGGUCAAGUGGUUAAGACAUCGCCCUUUCACGGCGGUAACAUGGGUUCGAAUCCCGUAGGGGUCA
rfam:Caloramator quimbayensis strain TSBA 833 genome assembly, contig: Ga0105845_107